rnacentral:rRNA from 1 species
AUUGAACGCUGGCGGCAGGCCUAACACAUGCAAGUCGAACGAGUGGCGGACGGGUGAGUAAAGUCUGGGAAACUGCCUGAUGGAGGGGGAUAACUACUGGAAACGGUAUCUAAUACCGCAUACCAUCAGAUGUGCCCAGAUGGGAUUAGCUUGUUGGUGGGGUAACGUGUCACAAAGGCGACGAUCCCUAGCUGGUCUGAGAGGAUGACCAGCCAAACUGGAACGGAGAAACGGUACAGACGCAUACGUGAGGCACCAGUGGAGAAUAAUGCACAAUGGGCGCAAGCCCGAUGCAGCCAGGACGAGUGUAUGAAGAAGGCCUUCGGGUUGUAAAGUACUUUCAGCGGGGAGGAGGUACCCGCAGAAGAAGCACAGGCUAACUCCGUGCCAGAAGCCGCGGUAAUAC